rnacentral:misc_RNA from 1 species
UCACAAAGCCAGCACUCAAGU